GCUUACGGCCAUACCAGCCUGGGUACGCCCGAACUCGUCUGAUCUCGGAAGCUAAGCAGGGUCGGGCCUGGUUAGUACUUGAAUGGGAGACCGCCUGGGAAUACCAGGUGCUGUAAGCA
rnacentral:rRNA from 1 species